rnacentral:rRNA from 1 species
AGUGAACGCUGGCGGUAGGCCUAACACAUGCAAGUCGAACGGCAGCACAGUAAGAGCUUGCUCUUACGGGUGGCGAGUGGCGGACGGGUGAGGAGUACAUCGGAAUCUACUUUUUCGUGGGGGAUAACGUAGGGAAACUUACGCUAAUACCGCAUACGACCUACGGGUGAAAGCAGGGGAUCUUCGGACCUUGCGCGAUUGAAUGAGCCGAUGUCGGAUUAGCUAGUUGGCGGGGUAAAGGCCCACCAAGGCGACGAUCCGUAGCUGGUCUGAGAGGAUGAUCAGCCACACUGGAACUGAGACACGGUCCAGACUCCUACGGGAGGCAGCAGUGGGGAAUAUUGGACAAUGGGCGCAAGCCUGAUCCAGCCAUACCGCGUGGGUGAAGAAGGCCUUCGGGUUGUAAAGCCCUUUUGUUGGGAAAGAAAAGCAGCAGGUUAACACCCCGCUGUUCUGACGGUACCCAAAGAAUAAGCACCGGCUAACUUCGUG